rnacentral:rRNA from 1 species
GACGAACGCUGGCGGCGUGCCUAAUACAUGCAAGUAGAACGCUGAAGGAGGAGCUUGCUUCUCUGGAUGAGUUGCGAACGGGUGAGUAACGCGUAGGUAACCUGCCUGGUAGCGGGGGAUAACUAUUGGAAACGAUAGCUAAUACCGCAUAACAGUAGAUAUCGCAUGAUAUCUACUUGAAAGUUGCAAUUGCAUCACUACCAGAUGGACCUGCGUUGUAUUAUCUAGUUGGUGAGGUAACGGCUCACCAAGGCGACGAUACCUAGCCGACCUGAGAGGGUGAUCGGCCACACUGGGACUGAGACACGGCCCAGACGCCUACGGGAGGCAGCAGGAGGGAAUCUUCGGCAAUGGACGGAAGUCUGACCGAGCAACGCCGCGGGAGUGAAGAAGGUUUUCGGAUCGUAAAGCUCUGUUGUAAGAGAAGAACGAGUGUGAGAGUGGAAAGUUCACAGUGUGACGGUAUCUUACCAGAAAGGGACGGCUAACUACGUG